GUGGAGGCACUUAUGUGUGUGCAAGCAUGGGGUCGUGCUGAUAUGUUAGCUGAAAUUGCUAACAAGACCAAUGCAUUGAACACGGUACUUGACGAUGAAUCAGAAUCGGAAGCAUCUACUGUCACUGAAGCUUGAGGUGGAGAUUUCAUAAGUGAAGGAUGGGCUAGAAAGCCUGCAAUUGCAAACUAUCUACCUAUAUAUUUUAUUAUGUUGGCAAUGUAAUAGUAUAUUAAGACUUCUAUAUUUCUGUGAGACUGAAUUUGCUUGCUGUGUGUGAUGUGUUGAACAAUUCAACUGUUGAACUUUGAAGGCUUGAUUCGCUUGAACAGUUGAACUCAUGUGUGUUAGUGUGUAACUGUGUGAAAUGAUGGAUAUCAUCAAUGUGUUCUUGCUGAAUUUUUAUGAUGAAAUUGAAGUAUU